UUUGAUUGCGCUGGGACUGGAGUAGCGAACAUAUGUCUAAUGCCCAUCCCAGAAAGAAUGACUUAGUGCCCUUAAUGCCUUUCCUAUUGUUUUCUUUUCCACUUUCUCUUCUCUUAUUCAUCAAGCUGCUGUUAGUAGUUAUCAUUACAUGCAGGCAAGCACCCACCAGCAUCUUCAAACAAACCAAGGAUAACACAAGAGGGAAACAGGAACUGGGACUUCUGUCUUCACAGAAUCCAGCUGCUUUCUGCAUUUGAUUUUCAGUUGUUUGUCUGGCCCUGAAUCUUUAGGAAGUGUGGUAAAUUAAGGAGUCCAGGAAAAAUGAUACAUGUGCCAGUGUCUGAGAUGUAAUCAGAAGAAGAGUAUUUGUUUUUCUGAACAUGUUAAUUGAAAUAACCAAGCAUGUGUCUUCAGGAAGAGAAUUCAGAGGACCCAUUAAAGGAAGUCUCUGCCUCCAUGUCUCUGUACUGAUUGUGGAUCUGUAAAUGGCUGCCAUCCAGCAAAGCUCUUAAGUGCAUGCUUAGCUCUAGCACAGCUUGGCUAACUUUGUUGCUAACUUUGGCAUGUGUGGGGCGUUCACAUGCCUGGUGAGAGGCACAUGCUCGUGUGCCCUUCUGCAUAACUAACUCUUCCUUGUGUCCUACAGGCCUGAGGCCAGGAGUGUGGGUCCGGUGUCCUGCUCCCAUAGAAGGUACUGAAGAUGGCAGUAGGGUUGCACUUCAUCUACAGCUCCGGGGUUUUCUUGCUUCUCAUGAACGUCACUGAAAUGCAGAGGUAGAAACUCCUGAAAACUGAAAACUCAUGGUAGCUAGAAUUUACAUGUAACCUGAUAAGGUGGAAGGAAAUCUUUUGGCUUUAAACUACAACGGAAGAUUCUAGGAGUCUGAAUUGAAAAGCUUUGUAGAGCUUUUUUGUAAGGGAAGACUCACAGGAGGGAAGUUGCUGUUUUGCUGUUUUGAGAAUCCUGUCUGAGUUCUUCUGCUUUGGAGAGGGUACAAGAGGAGUGCACUUGCUGAUCGAACUGUAACAGGAUAUUAUUUUGUAGAGCCAAAUAUUUAAUGUGGCAACCUAGAAUGCAUCUCCUUGGCCUGCGAUCAGCCAAGAGCCAGUUAGUGGAGCAGCGCUGCUCAUUGCCAGCAUCCAUCCUCUUUUUCUUCAUCAGAAAUCCAGGGUCUGUAUCCUGGAAAUGCAGAAAUCCACCCCGACUCUUCAAGGACUUGCACGUGUGCUCAGCUCGAGCCCCUGAAUCGCCCAUUAAUGCAGAGUGUACACAGCCCUGUUUGGCAGGUCAAGGUAGAACAAGAAGCCAAGAUGAUACAUGCACUUCUAUCAUAGGAAGAUUCCUCUCUGUGUGUCUAGAUUCUGCAUGAAGUACUUCUUGUGAGUAUUUGAUCUCCUUUUUUAUUGUUUUUAAUAUUAUUGUUACAAAAAUGCUUCAAAAAAUUAGUACUGUCUUCAAAUUACUGUACAGUAAGAGCCUAUUAUAAUCUCUGUUUCACAGAUGAGGAAAACCAGUCUGAUAAAGAUUAAAGUUCCAGUUCAAGGAGAGGCAGAAGCUUAAGCACAUCUUUUAAUGUUCCUGUGAUUUUGGUGUAGGCUGUUAUGAAGAGUUUCUCUGGAGGUGAAAACAGAAUGUGCUCUGAGUUGCAGACAGUACCUCAGCCACAGUGCUGCAAGUUUUUCUUGUUAUACUUGUUAAAAAACGUGAUGCAAUGGGAUCGUCAUAGAGGAGAGAGAUUUAUUUUUGUAGUUAGUUAUUCAAUAUGGUAGUGAAACUCAUUUUAGCAUGGAGGUCAAUGAAGUUCUAACCUUUUCCUUCAGCUUUGUAGAUUUUCACAGAAGUGUGUAGCAUCUUUUCUUUGGUCAGGUAUCUCGGAAAUAAAGUCGGAGAAAUAAAUCUGCACAUUUCUACUGUGGCUGUGAUAAGCAUAUGUAUUUAUAUAUAUAAUGGCAUUGUGUGUCUUGCUCUAUGUAACAUUUUUUAGGUGUCUGUAUGAGUAGGAGAUUUAUGAAGUGUGACUCAUUUUUCCUUCUCCACACUGUUCCAAUGGAAGAGCUCAGACUGCGAUGAGAAAAAGUAGUACACAUUAUUAAGAAUUCUGAUAAAGUAGGCUGAAUAAAUUUGUUUUCUUUGUGAGCCUUAAUCCUGUGUUGUAUUGGCUUCUUGGA